UUAACUCAAUUUUGUAUGGAGUUGAAUCGUUUGCUUACGUUUGCCGCUAGGGGCGCUGUUCCAACUGCAUACAAAUUUGCGUUA
rfam:Bombyx mori DNA, contig: Bm_scaf97_contig35497, strain: p50T/Dazao, build 2, whole genome shotgun sequence.